AGUCUGCCCGGUCCAUUCUAUCUUCGUCGAUAUCGCCGUCUGCCCGUCUCUACUGGGAAGGGAAGGGAGCACCUGCCUGCUCCUGCGCGGCGGCGGUUGGUAAGCCCCACCUCCGGUCCCAGCCUGGCCAGACUUCUGCCCUUCUCCUCCGCCUCUCUAAUGGUGAUUCGCAGUUACUCUUCUUUCCACUGUGGGUUGCUGAUUUCCAGAGCGGCGUGGAGGAGGCACUACCCGUUCUUCUGGGCUGUCAGGCCUUCCGUACCGCCGCCGCCGUCGCCACUCCCACUCCCACAGCCGCGCACGCGCUUCUCCUCCUCCUCCUCACUGCGCUCCACCAAGAGAUCCGCCGCAAAGACGUCAAUGGACUCGUCUUCAGUCGGUGAACCCUUCUACGUCGUCCGCAAGGGGGACGUCAUCGGCAUCUACAAAACCCUCAGCGAAUGCCAAGCUCAAGUCAGCAAUUCGGUUCGCGACCCUUCUGUCACCGUCUUCAAAGGCUACUCGCUGCGUAAAGACACCGAGGAAUACCUCGCCGCGCGCGGGUUAAGGAACGCUCUCUACGCCAUUGAUGCAACAGAUGCACGAGAUGAAUUGUUCGACGAUCUAGUUCCCUGCCCUUUCCAGCAACCUGAUGGAGCUGCAUCGUCUACUCUGAAAAGAUCACAGGAGAUUGAAAUCGGACCAUCAAAGAAGCAUCCCAAAGUUGAUGAGCAGGUACCAUUACCUGAUAGUCAUCUCUCUUGUAUUCUUGAAUUUGAUGGUGCCUCUAAAGGAAAUCCAGGGAAAGCCGGUGCUGGAGCAAUAAUAAGGCAGGUAGAUGGUUCCGUGGUAUGUAGCCAACUGAUUGCUCAACUACGUGAGGGUCUGGGCAUUGCAACCAACAAUGCUGCUGAAUAUCGUGCAUUGAUCCUAGGGCUAACAUAUGCAGCCAAGAAAGGGUUCAAGUAUAUUCGUGCUCAAGGCGACUCUAAGCUUGUUUGUAACCAGGUAUAAUACCUCGAAUGUGAUUUGGCCAUACAAUUUUCUUCAUUCUUGUAUCACGGAAGGUUGUUGCUUCAUUCAACAUGCCAAAGUCCAAGAUAUCUGGCGUGUUAAGAAUGAUAAUAUGGCUAGCUUCUGCAAGAAAGUGAAGGAGCUAAAGGGAACAUUUCAUUUAUUUCAAAUCAGACAUGUUUUGAGGGAAUAUAAUUCGGCUGCUGAUGCUCAAGCUAACUUUGCAGUAGAACUUCCUGUUGGUGAAGUUCAAGAGCAGUCGAACUUCCCAUGCUAGCAGUUGUGUUGUGGUCAAGUGUGGUUUGUGCAUCGCUAAGGUUCUGGGACUGAAGCUAUGUCACAUUUGUUCAGUUCUCAUUGACACAAAAGGAAGAGACGAAACAACAGUUGUAUUGGAAGUGGUAGUGGGUCUGAUAUAUCUGCGGAGUAUUGAACAGACAGAUGCAAUAUUGAGUAGAUUCUUAGGAAAUUUAAUCGUCUCAAACUUCUAGAUAGUGCGAGUUGAUUUGUCCAGGACCAGUGUUUGCUGAUAUACGAUGUUUGUAUUCAGAACAGUAUUAGUACCGGAAACUUUAAUUGCUCCUUUCUCUAUGUUGGUUACUUGGUUAAGGUUGAGUGUUGCUUUUAAUAAAUUGGUCAAAAUUUUAUU